GUGUCAGCAGCCGCGGUAAUACCGGCAGCCCAAGUGAUGGCCGAUCUUAUUGGGCCUAAAGCGUCCGUAGCUGGCCGCACAAGUCCAUCGGGAAAUCCACCUGCCCAACAGGUGGACGCCCGGUGGAAACUGUGUGGCUUGGGACCGGAAGGCGCGACGGGUACGUCCGGGGUAGGAGUGAAAUCCCGUAAUCCUGGACGGACCGCCGAUGGCGAAAGCACGUCGCGAAAACGGAUCCGACAGUGAGGGACGAAAGCCAGGGUCUCGAACCGGAUU
rnacentral:rRNA from 1 species